UCUAGUGAGGAGGAUCUCCAAAAUGUUAAUGAUUAAAAUUGUUAUAUAUCCAGAUUAAGCAUUGUUCAGUUAAAUUUUAGAUCUAAAUAUUCAUAGUUAUAUCACUUGUCUUACUCUAUUAGUCAUUAUUAUUUGUUUGAUUAAACCUAGUGUGCAUGCGUAUGUGUUAUAAUGUAAUUCUGCAUAUAUAGACAUGUCUGAUGCUGGUGGCAAGAUUGUUCUACGGAUUAUCGGGGGUUGUUUUACCCCAGAUGGUCAUAGAGUAGCUGCAUACAUCACCUCGAAAUUUAAAGAGCGAUUUAGUCCCGCUGGUACUACAUGGAAGCGGGUAGACCCAGAUAUGAAGCAAUUUUAUUACGAUGAGUUUUUGAAAAGAUAUACUUGGGAGAUAGAGC